GAUGAACGCUAGCGGCAGGCUUAAUACAUGCAAGUCGAGGGGCAGCGCAGUGUAGCAAUACAUGGGCGGCGACCGGCAAACGGGUGCGGAACACGUACACAACCUUCCUACAAGUGGGGAAUAGCCCAGAGAAAUUUGGAUUAAUACCCCGUAACAUAGCGAUGUGGCAUCACAUUGCUAUUAUAGCUUCGGCGCUUGUUGAUGGGUGUGCGGCUGAUUAGAUAGUUGGCGGGGUAACGGCCCACAAAGUCUACGAUCAGUAGCUGAUGUGAGAGCAUGAUCGGCCACACGGGCACUGAGACACGGGCCCGACGCCUACGGGAGGCAGCAGUAAGGAAUAUUGGACAAUGGACGCAAGUCUGAUCCAGCCAUGCCGCGUGAAGGAUUAAGGUCCUCUGGAUUGUAAACUUCUUUUAUAAGGGACGAAAAAAGGUCUUUCUAGAUCGUCUGACGGUACCUUAUGAAUAAGCACCGGCUAACUCCGUGCCAGCAGCCGCGGUAAUAC
rnacentral:rRNA from 1 species